rnacentral:rRNA from 1 species
AUCAACGCUGGCGGCGUGCCUCAGACAUGCAAGUCGAACGAUUAAAGCUCCCUUCGGGGAGUGCAUAAAGUGGCGCACGGGUGAGUAACACGUAAGUAAUCUACCCUCGGGUGGGGAAUAACGUCCGGAAACGGACGCUAAUACCGCAUAAUGCAGCGGCACCGCAAGGUGACAGUUGUUAAAGAUUUAUUGCCUGGGGAGGAGCUUGCGGCAGAUUAGCUUGUUGGUAAGGAACGGCUUACCAAGGCUACGAUCUGUAUCCGGUCUAAGAGGACGGUCGGACACACUGACACUGAAUAACGGGUCAGACUCCUACGGGAGGCAGCAGUCGGGAAUUUUGGGCAAUGGGGGAAACCCUGACCCAGCAACGCCGCGUGAAGGAUGAAGUAUUUCGGUAUGUAAACUUCGAAAGAAUAGGAAGAAUUAAUGACGGUACUAUUUAUAAGGUCCGGCUAACUACGUGCCAGCAGCCG